CGAGCUUCCGUUGAAUGACGUGCUUGCACUGAUUUCAACAAUGAAGCGAGUGGCGAACUGGUGAGUAACACGUGGGAAAUCUGCCCAGAAGCAGGGGAUAACACUUGGAAACAGGUGCUAAUACCGUAUAACAACAAAAUCCGCAUGGAUUUUGUUUGAAAGGUGGCUUCGGCUAUCACUUCUGGAUGAUCCCGCGGCGUAUUAGUUAGUUGGUGAGGUAAAGGCCCACCAAGACGAUGAUACGUAGCCGACCUGAGAGGGUAAUCGGCCACAUUGGGACUGAGACACGGCCCAAACUCCUACGGGAGGCAGCAGUAGGGAAUCUUCCACAAUGGACGAAAGUCUGAUGGAGCAAUGCCGCGUGAGUGAAGAAGGGUUUCGGCUCGUAAAACUCUGUUGUUAAAGAAGAACACCUUUGAGAGUAACUGUUCAAGGGUUGACGGUAUUUAACCAGAAAGCCACGGCUAACUACGUGCCAGCAGCCGCGGUAAUACGUAGGUGGCAAGCGUUGUCCGGAUUUAUUGGGCGUAAAGCGAGCGCAGGCGGUUUUUUAAGUCUGAUGUGAAAGCCUUCGGCUUAACCGGAGAAGUGCAUCGGAAACUGGGAGACUUGAGUGCAGAAGAGGACAGUGGAACUCCAUGUGUAGCGGUGGAAUGCGUAGAUAUAUGGAAGAACACCAGUGGCGAAGGCGGCUGUCUAGUCUGUAACUGACGCUGAGGCUCGAAAGCAUGGGUAGCGAACAGGAUUAGAUACCCUGGUAGUCCAUGCCGUAAACGAUGAGUGCUAAGUGUUGGAGGGUUUCCGCCCUUCAGUGCUGCAGCUAACGCAUUAAGCACUCCGCCUGGGGAGUACGACCGCAAGGUUGAAACUCAAAGGAAUUGACGGGGGCCCGC
rnacentral:rRNA from 2 species